rnacentral:rRNA from 1 species
AGCGAACGCUGGCGGCAGGCCUAACACAUGCAAGUCGAACGAACCUUUCGGGGUUAGUGGCGGACGGGUGAGUAACACGUGGGAACGUGCCUUUAGGUUCGGAAUAACUCAGGGAAACUUGUGCUAAUACCGAAUGUGUCCUUCGGGGGAAAGAUUCAUCGCCUUUAGAGCGGCCCGCGUCUGAUUAGCUAGUUGGUUGAGGUAAUGGCUCACCAAGGCGACGAUCAGUAGCUGGUCUGAGAGGAUGAUCAGCCACAUUGGGACUGAGACACGGCCCAAACUCCUACGGGAGGCAGCAGUGGGGAAUCUUGCGCAAUGGGCGAAAGCCUGACGCAGCCAUGCCGCGUGAAUGAUGAAGGUCUUAGGAUUGUAAAAUUCUUUCACCGGGGACGAUAAUGACGGUACCCGGAGAAGAAGCCCCGGCUAACUUCGUG